AAAAAUUGCAACAUAUACAGUGCUGGUACCGCUUGAAACGCCUGCGGGAACUACACACAUAAACUCUCCCGCAGAUACAGCUGAAUCCUCCCAAUUCUCGAGACAAAUUCCGUUGAUAUUCAGCAUUUCUAUCAGUUUUUCUUCGUCGGAGAUUUUGCAGAUCUGUUAGUUGAUUCAUACAUUAGCAGUAUUAGCUUUGCCGUUUUUGUGGAAAGCUCAAUAAUCAUGGUGUCCACGUCUAAGAUCAAAUCCGUUGACUUUUACAGGAAAAUACCUCGAGAUUUGACUGAGGCAUCAUUAUCUGGUGCUGGAUUGUCCAUUGUAGCAGCACUUUGCAUGAUGUUUCUCUUUGGAAUGGAACUAAAUAACUAUUUGACAGUGAGCACUACCACAUCUGUUAUUGUUGAUAAGAGUUCUGAUGCGGAAUUCUUACGAAUUGAUUUUAAUAUGAGUUUCCCGGCAUUGUCUUGUGAAUUUGCAUCAGUGGAUGUGAGUGAUGUCUUAGGAACAAAUAGGUUGAACAUAACCAAAACAGUACGCAAGCAUUCCAUUGACAAAAACUUGAGACCUACUGGCUCGGAGUUCCAUUCAGGCUCAACUGCAACAGAACUCAAACAUGAUGCGGAAGAUGAUGAGGAAUAUGGUGAAGGGUCUGUUUCCUUAAAUGGACACAGUUUUGAUAGAGUUACUCACCAUUUCCCAAUUUUGGUUGUAAAUUUCUUCGCUCCUUGGUGCUAUUGGAGCAACCGGCUGAAACCUUCAUGGGAGAAAGCAGCCAAUAUUAUAAGAGAGAGAUAUGACCGGGAAUCGGAUGGGCGUAUUCUUGUGGCAAAAGUUGAUUGCACUGAAGAAGUUGAU
rnacentral:misc_RNA from 1 species